rnacentral:rRNA from 1 species
CCUGGCUCAGGAUGAACGCUAGCGACAGGCUUAACACGUGCAAGUCGAGGGGCAGCACAGGUAGCAAUACCGGGUGGCGACCGGCGCACGGGUGAGUAACGCGUAUGCAACUUACCUAUCAGAGGGGGAUAACCCGGCGAAAGUCGGACUAAUACCGCAUGAAGCAGGGGUCCCGCAUGGGGAUAUUUGCUAAAGAUUCAUCGCUGAUAGAUAGGCAUGCGUUCCAUUAGGCAGUUGGCGGGGUAACGGCCCACCAAACCGACGAUGGAUAGGGGUUCUGAGAGGAAGGUCCCCCACAUUGGUACUAAGACACGGACCAAACUCCUACGGGAGGCAGCAGUGAGGAAUAUUGGUCAAUGGGCGUAAGCCUGAACCAGCCAAGUCGCGUGAGGGAUGAAGGUUCUAUGGAUCGUAAACCUCUUUUAUAAGGGAAUAAAGUGCGGGACGUGUCCCGUUUUGUAUGUACCUUAUGAAUAAGGAUCGGCUAACUCCGUGCCAGCAGCCGCGGUAAUACGGAGGAUCCGAGCGUUAUCCGGAUUUAUUGGGUUUAAAGGGUGCGUAGGCGGCCUUUUAAGUCAGCGGUGAAAGUCUGUGGCUCAACCAUAGAAUUGCCGUUGAAACUGGGGGGCUUGAGUAUGUUUGAGGCAGGCGGAAUGCGUGGUGUAGCGGUGAAAUGCUUAGAUAUCACGCAGAACCCCGAUGCGAAGGCAGCCUGCCAAGCCAUGACUGACGCUGAUGCACGAAAGCGUGGGGAUCAAACAGGAUUAGAUACCCUGGUAGUCCACGCAGUAAACGAUGAUCACUAGCUGUUUGCGAUACAGUGUAAGCGGCACAGCGAAAGCGUUAAGUGAUCCACCUGGGGAGUACGCCGGCAACGGUGAAACUCAAAGGAAUUGACGGGGGCCCGCACAAGCGGAGGAACAUGUGGUUUAAUUCGAUGAUACGCGAGGAACCUUACCCGGGUUUGAACGCAUUCGGACCGAGGAGGAAACACCUUUUCUAGCAAUAGCCGUUUGCGAGGUGCUGCAUGGUUGUCGUCAGCUCGUGCCGUGAGGUGUCGGCUUAAGUGCCAUAACGAGCGCAACCCUUGCCACUAGUUACUAACAGGUGAUGCUGAGGACUCUGGUGGGACUGCCAGCGUAAGCUGCGAGGAAGGCGGGGAUGACGUCAAAUCAGCACGGCCCUUACAUCCGGGGCGACACACGUGUUACAAUGGCGUGGACAAAGGGAAGCCACCUGGCGACAGGGAGCGAAUCCCCAAACCACGUCUCAGUUCGGAUCGGAGUCUGCAACCCGACUCCGUGAAGCUGGAUUCGCUAGUAAUCGCGCAUCAGCCAUGGCGCGGUGAAUACGUUCCCGGGCCUUGUACACACCGCCC